UUACGGUCAUAUCUCGUUGCAACACCGGUUCCCGUGCGAUCACCGAAGUUAAGCAAGGUCGAGCCUGUACCUUGAGUGGUGACUGCUUGGGAAUACCAGGUGCUGUAAG